rnacentral:rRNA from 1 species
CGGACGGGUGAGUAACGCGUGGGAACAUGCCUAUUAGUUGGGGACAACCUGUGGAAACGCAGGCUAAUACCGAAUACGUACUAUGGUAUAAAGGGUGCCUCUCCUUGGAAGCAUUCGCUAAUAGAUUGGCCCGCGUUGGAUUAGCUAGUUGGUGGGGUAAAAGCCUACCAAGGCGACAAUCCAUAGCUGGUUUGAGAGGAUGAUCAGCCACACUGGGACUGAGACACGGCCCAGACUCCUACGGGAGGCAGCAGUGGGGAAUAUUGGACAAUGGGCGCAAGCCUGAUCCAGCAAUGCCGCGUGUGUGAAGAAGGCCUGAGGGUUGUAAAGCACUUUCAAUUGUGAAGAAGGGUUUAAGUUUAAAUAAACUUGAACAUUGGACGUUAACAAAUAAGAAAGAAGCACCGGCUAACUCCUGGUGCCAGCAGCCGGCGGUAAUACAGAGGGGUGGCAAGCGUUAAUCGGAAUUACUGGGGCGUAAAGCGCGCGUAGGUGGUUUGAUAAGUUGGAUGUGAAAUCCCCGGGCUUAACCUGGGUCGGUCAUUCAAAACUGUCAGACUAGAGUAUGGUAGAGGGUAGUGGAAUUUCUAGUGUAGCGGUGAAAUGCGUAGAUAUUAGAAGGAACACCAGUGGCGAAAGCGACUGCCUGGACUGAUACUGACACUGAGGUGCGAAAGCGUGGGUAGCGAACAGGAUUAGAUACCCUGGUAGUCCACGCCGUAAACGAUGACAACUAGACGUUGGGUCCCUUAGAGGAUUUAGUGUCGAGCUACGCG